rnacentral:rRNA from 1 species
AGUGAACGCUGGCGGCGUGCCUAAUACAUGCAAGUCGAACGGAGAUUAAGUAGCUUGCUAUUUAAUCUUAGUGGCACACGGGUGAGUAAUAUAUAGCUAACUUGCCCAUUACUAAGGGACAACAGUUGGAAACGACUGCUAAUACCUUAUACUCCGUAUCUAUAUAAGUAGAUACGGGAAAGUUUUUCGGUAAUGGAUAGGGCUAUAUCGUAUCAGCUAGUUGGUAAGGUAAUGGCUUACCAAGGCUAUGACGCGUAACUGGUCUGAGAGGAUGAUCAGUCACACUGGAACUGAGACACGGUCCAGACUCCUACGGGAGGCAGCAGUAGGGAAUAUUGCUCAAUGGGGGAAACCCUGAAGCAGCAACGCCGCGUGGAGGAUGACACUUUUCGGAGCGUAAACUCCUUUUCUUGGGAAAGAAUUAUGACGGUACCCAAGGAAUAAGCACCGGCUAACUCCGUG